ACCAUGUCAAGAGGUCUUUAUAAGGGUUGUAAUAGGGAUUAGGUAGGGGUAGGUAAAUUUGGUAAGAGUUGAACCUAUGGUGUUCUGCAAUGAAAUACAUGACCUGCACACAAGCCACAAUGAUCACAAGGGGUAAGCAAUGGACAGUAGUCCAAGGUGGGAAAUAGGAAUUAAGUCAAAAUGUUUAGCUCACUUACUUUCUUUCUUUUCAUCACCCUUCCCUCUU
rnacentral:lncRNA from 1 species